rnacentral:misc_RNA from 1 species
UUUUACUCCUUCCACAUACAAUUAUAAACCUUAUUCUCCUUAUUAGCAUUCAUUACAGAUUGCUAGGAUGCAGAAACAGUUAUUGGAGAGUAGUAAGAAACCUAAAGCUGCAAUUGGUUCUUUCAAGCCAUUCAAGAAUGGAAGUACUGGUUCUAACCCUUCAACCCUUACUAAUUCCUCUUAUCAAUAUUCUAAACCCUAUCAAUCUUAUCAAUAUCCUCCAAGACCAUCUAAUACAGAGGUGCGGCUCAAGUCUAACCCUUCUACUACCAAGCAACAAUCUGCUGG